UCAGAAAGUAUUGUCUUAAAACCAAAAACUAACCGACGGAGAAGUCUCGGUCUCUCCAAAGCAAUGAAUCUGGAAAUGUUCAUCAAAUCAACAUCUUUUCCGGUCGAAGAAAGAAAAAAAAAGAGGAUAGAGAUCGAUGGAGAAGUUAAAGGAGCUAAUCAUUCAAUAUCUCGAUCUUUCAAACAUGCAUCCACUUCUAGAUCUAACAUACCAGAUCGAAUUAACAAAAUAGAUCAAAAAUACAACAAUACGAAAUCACCGACUUGUCCAGAUUCAUUCAAAGCUCGAGUUAAAUCCAAAUAAUGAAGGCUUUUAGAAUAAUCCGACUACAGAAAAAUGCAGGACAAAGGUCGGACAGAUGAAGACCUUAUUUUAUUAAUUAGUAUCUAAACAUCGACUAUAAAAGCAUCAGAGAAGGUCGUGCAGUGACAUUCUAAAGACAGUGACGGAUUCAUUUGACCGUAACUAACAAUUAUAAAAACACUACAACCUGAGAAAAGAUAAGUUUUUAAAACAAUGACAUGGCUCAUUUCAACGCAUACAAUGACUUCUACAAUCAAAUUUAAGAUUUGUAGAAUCUAUUACAUGAACUUUUAUCUUUAUUUUACGGGACAAAAUUGACUGUUGUAUGAUUAUAAGAGACAUAAGGCAAAGUCCUACAAUAUCCAUACAAUACAGAGAUAAGUCUUGGACUAUUCACUUGUCUAUUUUAUUGAGUAAAUCUUUUCUUCUCCAGCAUUCCACGUUUAUAGCAAAUUAGUACUUGUCCUGGACUAUAGAGUAAAAAUCUAGAUUGUUGUAUAUUUUAUUGAGUUGUAGUAUUAAUGUAUACAAUUGAAGUGCAUGCCGUGCAGUUUCAUCUUUAGAUACAAAGCUUUAUUCAUGUGAAGACCAUGGGACAUGAAACAUUCUGCAACACGUUUCCAAAUCAUAAAUUUGUGGGUUAACGACCUAAUCUGUGCAAGAAAUAUUAUAUCAUGAUAAUGUGCUGGCAAAGACUGACGUGAAUUUGUUUUUUUUUUUGUUAUACGUUUUAAUCGAGCUCUUUA